UUAAGCAUGCAAGUCGCACGGUAUUAUUUGGUGCUUGCACCGAUAAGAGAGUGGCGAACGGGUGAGUAACACGUAAGUGAUCUGCCUUUUAGUUGGGGAUAGCCCAUGGAAACAUGGGGUAAUACCGAAUACGUCUGGAAACAGGGAAAGACCCGUAUGGGUCGCUAAAAGAUGAGCUUGCGGUCCAUUAGCUAGUUGGUAGGGUAAAGGCCUACCAAGGCGACGAUGGAUAGCCGGCCUGAGAGGGUGACCGGCCACACUGGGACUGAGACACGGCCCAGACUCCUACGGGAGGCAGCAGCUAAGAAUCUUCCGCAAUGGGCGCAAGCCUGACGGAGCGACGCCGCGUGGAUGAAGAAGGCCGUGAGGUUGUAAAAUCCUUUGGUUAGAGAAGAAUAAAGUUGCAAGGAAAUGUGCAACAGAUGACAUUACCUAACGAAUAAGCCCCGGCCAAUUACGUGCCAGCAGCCGCGGUAACACGUAAGGGGCAAGCGUUGUUCGGAAUCAUUGGGCGUAAAGGGCGCGCAGGCGGCGUAUUAAGCCUGGUGUGAAAGACCGCAGCUUAACUGCGGGGACGCGCAGGGAACUGGUAUGCUUGAGUUCAAGAGGGGGAGUUGGAAUUCCUGGUGUCGGGUGAAAUCUGU
rnacentral:rRNA from 1 species